CAACUUUUGACAACGGAUCUCUAGGCUCUCGCAACGAUGAAGAACGCAGCGAAAUGCGAUAAGUAAUGUGAAUUGCAGAAUUCCGUGAAUCAUUAAAUCUUUGAACGCACAUUGCGCCCUUUGGUACUCCGAAGAGCAUAUCUGUUUGAGAAUCAGUU
rnacentral:rRNA from 1 species